rnacentral:rRNA from 1 species
GAUGAACGCUGGCGGCGUGCCUAAUACAUGCAAGUCGAGCGAACAGACGAGGAGCUUGCUCCUCUGACGUUAGCGCGGGCCGGGGGAGAACACCUUGAAAACCUAACUAAAAGACUGGGACUACUUCGGGAAACCGGGGCUUAUACCCGGAAAAAAUUUUAACCGCCUGGGUCAACAGGGGAAAACGGUUUUGUCGUUACUUAAAGUAUGGUUCGCGCCGGAUUAGAUAGGUGGGAAGGGUACGGGUUACCAAAGCAACCAUGGGUAGGCGACCUGAGAGGGUGAUCGGCCACACUGGAACUGAGACACGGUCCAGACUCCUACGGGAGGCAGCAGUAGGGAAUCUUCCGCAAUGGGCGAAAGCCUGACGGAGCAACGCCGCGUGAGUGAAGAAGGUCUUCGGAUCGUAAAACUCUGUUAUUAGGGAAGAACAAAUGUGUAAGUAACUAUGCACGUCUUGACGGUACCUAAUCAGAAAGCCACGGCUAACUACGUG